UACGAAGGGUGCAAGCGUUGUUCGGAUUUAUUGGGCGUAAAGCGCGCGUAGGCGGACCUGCAAGUCAGAUGUGAAAUCUCGAGGCUCAACCUCGAAACUGCGUCUGAAACUACAGGUCUAGAAUCUUGGAGGGGGAAGGGGAAUUUCGCAUGUAGGGGUAAAAUCCGUAGAUAUGCGAAGGAACACCAGAGGCGAAGGCGCCUUCCUGGACAAGUAUUGACGCUGAGUCGCGAAAGCGUGGGGAUCAAACAGG
rnacentral:rRNA from 1 species